rnacentral:rRNA from 1 species
UACGGAGGGGGCUAGCGUUGUUCGGAAUUACUGGGCGUAAAGCGCACGCAGGCGGCUUCGUAAGUUAGAGGUGAAAGCCCGGGGCUCAACCCCGGAAUUGCCUUUAAGACUGCAUCGCUUGAAUCCGGGAGAGGUGAGUGGAAUUCCGAGUGUAGAGGUGAAAUUCGUAGAUAUUCGGAAGAACACCAGUGGCGAAGGCGGCUCACUGGACCGGUAUUGACGCUGAGGUGCGAAAGCGUGGGGAGCAAACAGG